rnacentral:misc_RNA from 1 species
GAAAUGCGAUAAUUAAUGUGAAUUGCAGAAUUCAGUGAAUCAUCGAGUCUUUGAACGCACAUUGCGCCCCCUGGUAUUCCGGGGGGUAUGCCUGUCCGAGCAUCAUUGCUGCCCUCAAGCACGGCUUGUGUGUUGGGCUUCCGUCCCUGGCAACGGGGACGGGCCCAAAAGGCAGUGGCGGCACCAUGUCUGGUCCUCGAGCGUAUGGGGCUUUGUCACCCGCUCCCGUAGGUCCAGCUGGCAGCUAGCCUCGCAACCAAUCUUUUUAACCAGGUUGACCUCGGAUCAGGUAGGGAUACCCGCUGAACUUAAGC